rnacentral:rRNA from 1 species
UACGUAGGGGGCAAGCGUUGUCCGGAUUUAUUGGGAGUAAAGAGCGUGUAGGCGGUCUGACAGGUCUGCUGUGAAAACUCGAGGCUCAACCUCGAGAUGUCGGCGGAAACCGUCUGGCUAGAGUCCGGAAGAGGAGAGUGGAAUUCCUGGUGUAGCGGUGAAAUGCGCAGAUAUCAGGAAGAACACCUAUGGCGAAGGCAGCUCUCUGGGACGGUACUGACGCUGAGACGCGAAAGCGUGGGGAGCGAACAGG